AGUCUGCAACUCGACCACAUGAAGCUGGAAUCGCUAGUAAUCGCAGAUCAGAAUGCUGCGGUGAAUACGUUCCCGGGUCUUGUACACACCGCCCGUCACACCAUGGGAGUCGGAAAUGCCCGAAGCCGGUGACCAAACCAAUAAGGAAGGAGCCGUCGAAGGCAGGUCUGAUAACUGGGGUGAAGUCGUAACAAGGUACC
rnacentral:rRNA from 1 species